rnacentral:rRNA from 1 species
UACGGAGGGUGCAAGCGUUAUCCGGAUUCACUGGGUUUAAAGGGUGCGUAGGUGGGCAGGUAAGUCAGUGGUGAAAUCUCCGGGCUCAACCCGGAAACUGCCAUUGAUACUAUCAGUCUUGAAUAUCGUGGAGGUAAGCGGAAUAUGUCAUGUAGCGGUGAAAUGCUUAGAUAUGACAUAGGACACCAAUUGCGAAGGCAGCUUACUACCCGAAUAUUGACACUGAGGCACGAAAGCGUGGGGAUCAAACAGG